rnacentral:tRNA from 1 species
CGAAACAUAGCUUAAUAAAAGCCCUUCGCUUACACCGAAAAAAUGUCCACUAAACAAGACUGUUUCGA